rnacentral:rRNA from 1 species
GAUGAACGCUAGCGGCAGGCCUAAUACAUGCAAGUCGAACGAAGCAGCAAUGCUUAGUGGCGCACGGGUGCGUAACGCGUAUGUAACCUACCUUUUACUGGGGGAUAACUUCUCGAAAGAGAAGCUAAUACCGCAUAAUGCAUUAAGGUCACCUGGUCUAAAUGUUAAAGAUUUAUUGGUAAAAGAUGGGUAUGCGUCCAAUUAGCUAGUUGGUAGUGUAACGGACUACCAAGGCUACGAUUGGUAGGGGGUCUGAGAGGAUGGUCCCCCACACUGGUACUGAGCUAAGGACCAGACUCCUACGGGAGGCAGCAGUAGGGAAUAUUGGGCAAUGGACGAAAGUCUGACCCAGCCAUGCCGCGUGCAGGAUGAAGGCCCUCUGGGUUGUAAACUGCUUUUGACAGGGAAGAAAUACACCAUGCGUGGUGAGCUGACGGUACCUGUAGAAUAAGCACCGGCUAACUCCGUGCCAGCCGCCGCAGUAA